UGGGGAAACCCAGUGUGAUUCGUCACACUAUCAUUAACUGAAUCCAUAGGUUAAUGAGGCGAACCGGGGGAACUGAAACAUCUAAGUACCCCGAGGAAAAGAAAUCAACCGAGAUUCCCCCAGUAGCGGCGAGCGAACGGGGAGCAGCCCAGAGCCUGAAUCAGUGUGUGUGUUAGUGGAAGCGUCUGGAAAGGCGCGCGAUACAGGGUGACAGCCCCGUACACAAAAAUGCACAUGCUGUGAGCUCGAUGAGUAGGGCGGGACACGUGGUAUCCUGUCUGAAUAUGGGGGGACCAUCCUCCAAGGCUAAAUACUCCUGACUGACCGAUAGUGAACCAGUACCGUGAGGGAAAGGCGAAAAGAACCCCGGCGAGGGGAGUGAAAAAGAACCUGAAACCGUGUACGUACAAGCAGUGGGAGCACGCUUAGGCGUGUGACUGCGUACCUUUUGUAUAAUGGGUCAGCGACUUAUAUUCUGUAGCAAGGUUAACCGAAUAGGGGAGCCGAAGGGAAACCGAGUCUUAACUGGGCGUUAAGUUGCAGGGUAUAGACCCGAAACCCGGUGAUCUAGCCAUGGGCAGGUUGAAGGUUGGGUAACACUAACUGGAGGACCGAACCGACUAAUGUUGAAAAAUUAGCGGAUGACUUGUGGCUGGGGGUGAAAGGCCAAUCAAACCGGGAGAUAGCUGGUUCUCCCCGAAAGCUAUUUAGGUAGCGCCUCGUGAAUUCAUCUCCGGGGGUAGAGCACUGUUUCGGCAAGGGGGUCAUCCCGA
rnacentral:rRNA from 1 species